AAGCACUCAGCAAAACGCCAUUGUAAAUACUUAACAAUAUAUAAGCACAACCAUGUACUUACUCAACACACACAUUACAUCAGGCAUAUGACCAAGGUAUUUAUUUAUUAAACUCCAGUCUCCAACAUGCACCCAAUCAUAGAGGCGAUGUACAACAACAAAAUACUUAUAAACAUGACAUACGGUUCCACUGCUAGCAGCAUACAGUCUUCAGCAUAACUAGGUUUUGAUCCGGCUACGAAACAUAGCAGAUGCAAUCAAUCCUUCAUCUUGGCCACAUGCACCACCAGUUCUUCGUCUUGGCCACAUGCAAGGGACCUGGCAAAUGGCAAUAAACCCAAAGUUAAGACCAUUUAAGAACAACAGUUGUAUUUUCUACUCGAUACUGCAUUUAGGUCCCUGGAGUAUUUUGCACAAAGAAAAGCAUGCAAGAGAAUGCAGUACGGAUGGCUUACAUUUGUGCUAUCCGCAGACCACACAGACAAGAACCCUCAGUAACCACCAGCCGCCAUGAAGAGCUCAUCGAGGCUCCAGAGAUCCCCACUGCUUGCCCCGUCCUGCAUCGCACCAUUCAGCAGAAGGCUGUCCAUUGAUCCGUCCGAGCUGCUCUCAACAUAAGGCAACGAGUACUUCAUCUCAUGGUCAAAAGCAGGGAUGUCUUGUGCAACAUUUCCCUGAGGCAGCACGGCCACGCCAAAGUUGUUCCUCAUUCUCUUUGGAGCUCCACCUUGCAGGUAAGCGGGCUCGCCGUAUGCCGGCAUGGCAGCAGCAUUCGGGACGAAGACGGACGUGUAGUCCGGGGUCAUGACCUCAUCGUCCCACCCAAAGUCAGUAGAGCCAAAUGAGUUGCUACUCUGGUCAGAGAGCAUGUUCAUCCCGAAUGUCUCAGUGGGCACAAGAGGUUUCACCGGAAGAAGGGAAUCCACACUUUCAGCUGGCUUCGCAGGAACUUUCUUGUCAUUGAAGGCGAACAUCGCGAACAAAUCAUUGUCUCCUCUGCUCAGAUGAUUGAAAGGCUCAUCCUCGCAGGCCUUCGGAGGUGGAGCCAGCUUUGCUGAUUUAGCGGCAGUUGGCUUCAGAGUAGACUUCUGAACAGUUGGAGCAUCCUCAGGAAAAUUGACCUUGGCCUUCUUGCCACGAAUCUUGCGGGCUUCAGCAUCAUAUGCCCUUGCUGCCUCCUCAGCAGUGUCGUAUGUCCCGAGCCAAACCCGGACACCCUUGCUAGGGUCACGGAUUUCAGCUGCCCAUUUCCCCCAGGGACGCUGGCGGAUCCCUCUGUACUGAUUCUUCCGAACGCGCUUUACUUGUUUGGCAGCAGGUCCAUCAUGUUGAACAGCAUCUACAAUAA
rnacentral:lncRNA from 1 species